CGGGCUGUAGCGCAGCUUGGUAGCGCGCUUCGUUCGGGACGAAGAGGUCGUGGGUUCGAAUCCCGCCAGCCCGA
rnacentral:tRNA from 2 species